ACUUUAUACGGUUGGUUAUAUAAAAAAUCUUUAUUUGGAGUACUUUCAGUUAGUUUAAUAAUCAUCUUCAACGAAAAAAUGCGAGAUUAGAAUCAAGCAUGUCUGAAUUACAGACACACGCUAUAAGUUCUAAACAUUUAAAAUUUAACUAGGGGUAAAAUAAUGUAGACGUGUUUUAUAAAUAACGACAUUAAGUCAAUCUCAUUAACACUUUAAAUAAAAUUAAGAAUUAAAAUAAAAGUAGCUUAAGAUGAACACAGUAAUCGAGAACAGAAUGCUUGUGUAUUUUAUUUCUAUAUCCUAUAUUAAUUUAUUUAAUUCUUCAACAUCAGUUAUCUAUAUAAACCUACAAAUUGGCAGUAUUGAUCCAAGCAGGCAUUUUGAACUGAAGGUGAAAUUCUGUUAUUCCCUAAUAUAUAACAAUAUAAACUAUCUAGCAAGUAGUUUACUUCCCUCUUAGAUAUUUAGGUAGCUUUUCACUAUUAUAAAUCCAUUAUUAAACACUUCUAAACUAACUGUUCACUUCAAAGAUCGUCCAAAAAUGUUCAGGUAUGAAAAGUUUAAUUUAAAAUUGUUUAAUUUAUCUAUCG
rnacentral:lncRNA from 1 species